rnacentral:rRNA from 1 species
UAUACUGCAAGUCGAGCGGACAGAUGGGAGCUUGCUCCCUGAUGUUAGCGGCGGACGGGUGAGUAACACGUGGGUAACCUGCCUGUAAGACUGGGAUAACUCCGGGAAACCGGGGCUAAUACCGGAUGGUUGUUUGAACCGCAUGGUUCAAACAUAAAAGGUGGCUUCGGCUACCACUUACAGAUGGACCCGCGGCGCAUUAGCUAGUUGGUGAGGUAACGGCUCACCAAGGCAACGAUGCGUAGCCGACCUGAGAGGGUGAUCGGCCACACUGGGACUGAGACACGGCCCAGACUCCUACGGGAGGCAGCAGUAGGGAAUCUUCCGCAAUGGACGAAAGUCUGACGGAGCAACGCCGCGUGAGUGAUGAAGGUUUUCGGAUCGUAAAGCUCUGUUGUUAGGGAAGAACAAGUACCGUUCGAAUAGGGCGGUACCUUGACGGUACCUAACCAGAAAGCCACGGCUAACUACGUGCCAGCAGCCGCGGUAAUACGUAGGUGGCAAGCGUUGUCCGGAAUUAUUGGGCGUAAAGGGCUCGCAGGCGGUUUCUUAAGUCUGAUGUGAAAGCCCCCGGCUCAACCGGGGAGGGUCAUUGGAAACUGGGGAACUUGAGUGCAGAAGAGGAGAGUGGAAUUCCACGUGUAGCGGUGAAAUGCGUAGAGAUGUGGAGGAACACCAGUGGCGAAGGCGACUCUCUGGUCUGUAACUGACGCUGAGGAGCGAAAGCGUGGGGAGCGAACAGGAUUAGAUACCCUGGUAGUCCACGCCGUAAACGAUGAGUGCUAAGUGUUAGGGGGUUUCCGCCCCUUAGUGCUGCAGCUAACGCAUUAAGCACUCCGCCUGGGGAGUACGGUCGCAAGACUGAAACUCAAAGGAAUUG